AUGACGCUUCUCUUGCUGCACGCCUUGCUGCUUGCAAGCGCGGCUGUGGCAGCAGCAGCAUCUGAGAUCGGCGACACCGCAGGCGGCAACGCCACCACGGCUCAAGGCCUGUGCAACGGCGCCGGAUGCCAGCCGCCGCCGCAGCCGCUGCCAAUCUACGGCGGCCCUCCGCCGUCGCAGCCGUCGAGGACACCGCCCUCCCCGGGCAUGCAGGCGCCGUGCCCGCCGGUGACACCCGUUUGCUGCGGCGGCCAAAACACGCCUCAGCAGCCGUACUACCAAGCGCCUCCGAUCGGCUACCUUCCCUACUACAACGAGUCUGCUUCUUCCGUGCUCGUGCCACCGACUCCCGUCGCCGCCGUUGCGUAUUACGUGAUCGUACCAUGUCUCUUGCUUUGGGUUAUGGUGUAA
rnacentral:rRNA from 1 species